rnacentral:rRNA from 1 species
AACGAACGCUGGCGGCAGGCCUAAAACAUGCAAGUCGAACGCUCUAGCAAUAGGGAGUGGCGCACGGGUGAGUAACAUGUGGGAAUAUGCCUUUUGGUACGGAACAACUUUUGGAAACGAAAGCUAAUACCGUAUGGUCCCUUCGGGGUAAAGAUUUAUCGCCAAAAGAGUAGCCCGCACUGGAUUAGCUAGUUGGUAAGGUAAUGGCUUACCAAGGCGACGAUCCAUAGCUGGUCUGAGAGGACGAUCAGCCACACUGGGACUGAGACACGGCCCAGACUCCUACGGGAGGCAGCAGUUAGGAAUAUUGGACAAUGGGCGCAAGCCUGAUCCAGCCAUGCCGCGUGAGUGAUGAAGGCCUU